AAAAGGGGGUAAUUUGUAGGUCCUUGUUUCAAAGUUCAACACAAGUACUUCAACUUUAGGAAAUUGCACGCCAUGCCAGUUACAGGAGAAAUCUUCAUCUGUGACAAUAGACAAAACCUCCGCUUGAAGUGGUUGAAGUCUUUGUUCAAACCACCACCUAGGAAAUUCAUUCCCCUUGAUGUUGAUAUAUAUUCUCAUUCUCUUUUCUACCGG
rnacentral:misc_RNA from 1 species